GACGAACCGAGCGAACGUUGUUCGGAAUCACUGGGCUUAAAGGGCGCGUAGGCGGGCCGCCGCGUCCGGGGUGAAAUCCUCCCGCUCAACGGGAGAACGGCCUCGGAUACGGGCGGCCUGGAGGGGGGUAGGGGCGUGCGGAACUGUGGGUGGAGCGGUGAAAUGCGUUGAUAUCCACAGGAACUCCGGUGGCCGAAGGCGGCACGCUGGACCCCACCUGACGCUGAGGCGCGAAAGCGUGGGUAGCAAACAGG
rnacentral:rRNA from 1 species